CUUCAGGUGAUGAAAUGCAAAGAUGGAGAAAUGGAGGAGCACAGUCAUUAGAUACCAUUGGUGACAGCUUUAUCUCUGGGACAUGUGAAUGCAAAGAGGUCUACACAAAAUAAAAAUAAUAUUUUGGCCUAUUUUUUAAGAUUUACACAUCAAUUUCACACAAAUCGGUAACUGUAAAUCUUUUUUUUGUGUAUAUAAAGUACAUUCACAAUCAUCUCAAUGACAAUUGUUCAGCUGCAGUGUGCAGCCUGGGAUGCUGCCGUGUUGCUUUAUGGGCACCCACUUCCAGAGACAGUUUAAGUCUUAAAUGCCAUGUGACCGAUCACUCUGUAUUCCUAUGUUUAAUAUUAAAAAAUAUUGUUGAUUCGUUGGUGUAUUUGGGCUACUUUUGCAUGGCCAUUUAAUAAAACACUGUUUGCUUGCAUAAAUGUGUAGUUAUGGCAUCUACCAGCAGGGGCCAACUGCUGAAGCUAACCAGCCGAAUCUUUAUCUUGGUUAAUGUGGUACUGCAACUAUCAGAUGGUUUGAUUUGAAUGGUGCUGAUUGUAUUGCUAUGUUUGGAUAACCUUUGUUGUAAGUAGUGCAUUUUCUAUUAUAAAUAAUGCAUACAGUUGUGUAUGGCUGGUUCCCAAUAAAUGAAGAAAGAUC